rnacentral:lncRNA from 1 species
GGGGUUAUGACAUUAACUAGCGAGUUGAAGGUGCUGCAGACACACCAGAGCUAAACGCUGUUCUCAGCAGCUCGGAUUAACAGGGAUUAUCUCGCCUGGGUUUCUGAGUGACCGCACGUGCGAGGAGGUGUGGAGAGUGAGGCAGGAGUAAGAGGAGAAAAAGCGGUGGAGGAAUGGAAGGAUGGCGUUUAGAGAAGUGGACAUGGAUACUGGAUCUGUGUAGGAGAACUGAUUAUCUGCUGAGGUCUGUGAAAACGUCAAAAAAGUGCGGGCUGGAGAGCUGAAGGAAAGAUCCGGAAGUUUCUCUGCUGUCAGUAAUUUACUGUUUAUGUACAGAUGAUCCAGAUGCUACUGUGGCUUUCUUGUGGAACUUUCACCAUGUUGAGUGGUCUGACCAAAACUCCUGAGGUAAAAAUAUGGUCACAAACGUUUUAAACAGACUUUAAUGUGUUUUAAUGGACUUUUAUGAAGUUUCAGGGUCAAAACUGUGUCUUUAACAUGGUUGAGUUACUGGAAAAGAAGGAAGUUUGAGCUUUUGGACAUUUUUAAGUUUUUUUGAAACGGACUUUUAACCAAAAAAAAAUUAAUUCUACCAGUCCAUUCUACCACCUACCAAACUGCAAUGCGUUUCAGGACUGGCAUACCUCUUUUGGAAUGAAAAUGUGUGAUAUUGCUGGAGUGGAUAAAACAACUUUUCAAUGGACUUUCAUUGGUAAUACCUCCAUGAUGCAUCAGUGGCUAAAAAUGAAAAAUAAAUUAAAGGAAUCAAGCAAACUGUCAGACUCAUCCAGCCUCUUUGUGUACAGGUUGGUUCAAAAUGUAUAUUUUGCUUUUUUGUGUAAAAUACUAUCUAUCAAGAAUUUUACAGAUUUUUUUAUACAUCUGGUGGCUUUUUUUUACAGGUCUGGUGGCUGAAAACGGAAUGAAAUUUAAGUUCAAGAAUGUUUUACUGUCCUUCUGUCAAAAAUCAGCUGGAACUGUUUUACACAUGAGGAGAUCCACGUAUUGGUGGGCGGUGUAAAGAAAGCGCUUUCAAAAAGAGGAAAGAAAAAAACU